AACGAACGCUGGCGGCAGGCUUAACACAUGCAAGUCGAACGCCCCGCAAGGGGAGUGGCAGACGGGUGAGUAACACGUGGGGAUCUGCCCAAUGGUACGGAAUAAUUCCGGGAAACUGGGACUAAUACCGUAUGUGCCCGCAAGGGGAAAGAUUUAUCGCCAUUGGAUGAACCCGCGUCGGAUUAGCUAGUUGGUGAGGUAAAGGCUCACCAAGGCGACGAUCCGUAGCUGGUCUGAGAGGAUGAUCAGCCACACUGGGACUGCGACACGGCCCAGACUCCGACGGGAGGCAGCAGUGGGGAAUAUUGGACGAUGGGCGCAAGCCUGAUCCAGCCAUGCCGCGUGAGUGAUGAAGGCCUUAGGGUUGUAAAGCUCUUUCGCCGACGAAGAUAAUGACGGUAGUCGGAGAAGAAGCCCCGGCUAACUUCGUGCCAGCCGCCGCAGUAAAAC
rnacentral:rRNA from 1 species